UGACAUUUGAAAGGUGUCCAUGAGCACAGA
rnacentral:piRNA from 1 species